rnacentral:misc_RNA from 1 species
GAUGAAGAACGCAGCGAAAUGCGAUAAGUAAUGUGAAUUGCAGAAUUCAGUGAAUCAUCGAAUCUUUGAACGCACAUUGCGCCCGCCAGUAUUCUGGCGGGCAUGCCUGUUCGAGCGUCAUUACAACCCUCAGGCCCCCGGGCCUGGCGUUGGGGAUCGGCGGAGCGCCCCCUGCGGGCACACGCCGUCCCCCAAAUACAGUGGCGGUCCCGCCGCAGCUUCCAUUGCGUAGUAGCUAACACCUCGCAACUGGAGAGCGGCGCGGCCACGCCGUAAAACACCCAACUUCUGAAUGUUGACCUCGAAUCAGGUAGGAAUACCCGCUGAACUUAAGCAUAUCAUAAGCGGAGGA